GGGAUAGAGGCGCGUUUCCGAUGAGUAGCCGCCCGGAGGCUGUCCGCAGCCGGAGAGGGGCGACGAAAGGCGAGAGACGCCGAAAUGCGUGCGGCGCGGAUGCCGCAUGUGUUGGGACGGUACGCGAAAGCGGCCGGACUGUCACCGCUGCCUGGGCGGUGGAGUGCUAUCUGU
rnacentral:ncRNA from 1 species